UACGUAGGGCGCAAGCGUUGUCCGGAAUUAUUGGGCGUAAAGAGCUCGUAGGCGGUUGGUCACGUCUGGUGUGAAAUCCCGAGGCUCAACUUCGGGCUUGCAUCGGGUACGGGCCGACUAGAGUGCUGUAGGGGAGACUGGAAUUCCUGGUGUAGCGGUGGAAUGCGCAGAUAUCAGGAGGAACACCGAUGGCGAAGGCAGGUCUCUGGGCAGCUACUGACGCUGAGGAGCGAAAGCAUGGGGAGCGAACAGG
rnacentral:rRNA from 1 species